GUGUGUGUGGGGGAGGUCCUCCCAUACACACACCCUCACUCCCAUCCAUACACUCACCCUCUCUCACACACCCAACCUCCCACCUUUAAUGUGUGUGGAUGGGACUAAGGUUUUCUUAUUUCUUUCAGAUUGUGCGCCUCCGAGGUGAACGUCUGACUGAAGUGAACGUGUGGCUGGUCGAGAACUCCUCCAAACAGGUAAAGUACUUAUGACAAUAUAUAAUGUCUAUAUGCAAGUAUUUAUGAAUAUUAUGUUUUAAAGUUUUUUGUAUUCCAGGUUUGUUUGUGUGGCUGACUGGACCUACUACAAGGUACUUCUUGCAGAUACAUCAGUGAUGGUGAGGCCGUCACAUUACCAGCGGUUGUGGAUUUCCCAAUUCAACCUUUAUAUUGCAGACUCCACAUAAGGUAAAACACUUCCAUUCAGCAAUUGGUGUGCAGUGUCCAGAUUGUCAACAUUUAAUCUCAUGGUGUUCUCCCGACCUCCGUAAAGUGUCAUUAAUGCAAGAACGAAUGUAAGUGUCGUCAAGACCAACACAUGUGGUAACUCCAACGAGAACCAGGCCAAUAAGGAGAUAUGCAAGAUAUUCAUAUCCAAGUUAGGCACCAAAACUUCCAAUCUCCACGGUCACAAGAAUAUCCAGGCUGGGCGAUGGUGUAAACUUCUCGUUCCUUGCUUCCUGUCUCUGGCACAAAGUGAGAGACCUUCCUUAACACUGUUGCUGUGGCACCACGGCAAUGGGACCUGUGGCACACUUUUUCUUUGGGUGCCUCACCUGCCUGGCACUGAACACAUCUGGUUGAAGAUCAUGUGCAGCAUGUUUGUCUUUUAGCAGCACAAGUAUACCCAAGGGCUGUGUGCACUCUAUCUUCUUCCCUCUGGGUAGAUUGCACCACCCAAGGAACGCAAGUAUACUUUCGUCAACCUUUGCCUGGGUUUGUCGACUGUGUGAGGUCGUGCAUACCUUUCUCCUUACAGGGUACUUUGCUCAAUUUUUCCAAGGCAUGAGGCAUUAUCAAGCAUUGUUCAGGGGUUAUGUCUGCUUGCAAGUCAUUCUCAUCAGUAACUUGCUUAAAAAAAAACGACAAAACUUGAAAUGUUCCAUUUUUUAUGUAAAUUUAAUGUAAACUUUUUAAGUUUUUUAAGUUCUUCAGUGAAGUUGAUAAAUUAAGCAGACUGGCACCCAAUACAAAAUUAAAAUUUUAAUUUAAAAGUACUUAAUGCUUUUAGUCCCUCAGAAUUUAAGCUAUUCCCUGGUAAGGUGUUCAAGUUGCACGUGAAGGGGUUUUGCUGUAAUAAAUGUUAUUGGUACUAGUGGUUCACAUGACCACACUUGCUCACCAAUGUUAAGCUAAAGAAAGCAAUUAUAACUAAUUCACAAUGACUACUGUGAAAACAAUAAGAGUCUUACUUUUGCAUAGUCAGAUGAUGUUAUUUAAAACAAAUGACUUGUUAAGUACGUUUUUGCUUUUGGAAGAACUUUCAUGCAACUGCAUAGAAUUUGGUCUGUAUGUCAAGUGAUUUUAUUAAUAUGAUAAGUCAUAGUAUGGUUGUGAUAUUUGAAGGAAUAUUUUAUUACUGUACUAAAAUUUAGACACUUAUGUACAUUAUAUCACUGACAUUUGUAAAACCUCUCAUAUUCAGUUGGUAAAUUUCAAUACUGUUUACAGAGUGAAUACAUGCCAAUUUUCCAAGGAAGUUUAACAGCUUAUUGGGCAUCCCUGUUUACCUAUAACUGAUUAUCAUUCCAUGGGCCAGAGAACUGUAUAUCAGUUUCCCUAAUUCUUUUAGUCUUCUGCCUAUGCACUUCUUUAAUGAUGAAGUACACAAUGGAUAUUGCUGUAUUUAUAUUCCGAAGAUUUUAAUCAUUUCCAUUUAAAGACACUGUGGAAACCUCUGGCCCCACAAUUUUUGUUUAGACUAAUAAAUGCUAGGUGUAUGAGGCUUAAAUCAGUAGAGUAUCCUGCUGGCAAACCAAAGAUGUUCACAUUUGCCUCCUAGAGACACGAGGUAAGCAGAUUUAUCAGGGUUAUAUUUUAUUGAAAACUCAACUGAUUAUAAAGUCGAAUCAAACUAAUGUGGUAAUUUAUACAAACAUUACAGUAGCAUCAUGAAGAAUUUAGGGUAUUAAGGCCCUUUAUCCAUACUAGGGUGAAUUUGUUAUUCAGAGGUAAUAAUUUGUAAAUACUGUACAUGUAUUUUGUACUACAUAUGUACAAUGUAUAAAUGUUCAGGUUCCAACUUCUGACAGGUAUCAGGUAAAUCAUGUAUGUUGAGAAAAUCUAAAUGCUGCUUAUCCUCUUUCAAACAGAAACCUCUGUUAUUUUGUCUUGUGAACAGGACCUCGGUAAUGGAAACUAGCAACUUUGUAUACAUAUGACAACGAUGUUGUUGCAUUAAAUCCUACGAUAUUA
rnacentral:lncRNA from 1 species